rnacentral:rRNA from 1 species
UACGAGGGAGGCUAGCGUUGUCCGGAAUCAUUGGGCGUAAAGCGCGCGUAGGCGGCCCGGUAAGUCCGCUGUGAAAGUCAAAGGCUCAACCUUUGAAUGUCAGCGGAUACUGCCGGGCUAGAGUCCGGAAGAGGCGAGUGGAAUUCCUGGUGUAGCGGUGGAAUGCGCAGAUAUCAGGAGGAACACCAACGGCGAAGGCAGCUCGCUGGGACGGUACUGACGCUGAGGCGCGAAAGCGUGGGGAGCGAACAGG